rnacentral:rRNA from 1 species
UACGAAGGGGGCUAGCGUUGCUCGGAUUGACUGGGCGUAAAGGGCGCGUAGGCGGUUCGUACAGUCAGACGUGAAAUUCCUGGGCUCAACCUGGGGGCUGCGUUUGAUACGUGCGGACUUGAGUGCGGAAGAGGGUCGUGGAAUUCCCAGUGUAGAGGUGAAAUGCGCAGAUAUCGGGAGGAACACCAGUAGCGAAGGCGGCACUCUGGGCCGGUACUGACGCUGAGGAGCGAAAGCGUGGGGAGCGAACAGG